rnacentral:rRNA from 1 species
CUCCUUAGAUAUUUGAGUGGGGAUGUAGUUUAAUAGUUAAGCUUGCUUGAGCUAGAGGAGUCUUAGGAUGGGUGACCUCCUAGGAAGUCCUAGUUACUGGGUGC